GACGAACGCUGGCGGCGUGCUUAACACAUGCAAGUCGAACGGAAAGGCCCUGCUUUUGUGGGGCGCUCGAGUGGCGAACGGGUGAGUAACACGUGAGUAACCUGCCCUUGACUUUGGGAUAACUUCAGGAAACUGGGGCUAAUACCGGAUAGGAGCUCCUGCUGCAUGGGGGGGGUUGGAAAGUUUCGGCGGUUGGGGAUGGACUCGCGGCUUAUCAGCUUGUUGGUGGGGUAGUGGCUUACCAAGGCUUUGACGGGUAGCCGGCCUGAGAGGGUGACCGGCCCCAUUGGGACUGAGAUACGGCCCAGACUCCUACGGGAGGCAGCAGUGGGGAAUAUUGCACAAUGGGCGGAAGCCUGAUGCAGCAACGCCGCGUGCGGGAUGACGGCCUUCGGGUUGUAAACCGCUUUCGCCUGUGACGAAGCGUGAGUGACGGUAAUGGGUAAAGAAGCACCGGCUAACUACGUG
rnacentral:rRNA from 1 species